UUAUACAGCGAAACUGCGAAUGGCUCAUUAUAUAAGUUAUCGUUUAUUUGAUAGUACCUUACUACCUGGAUAACCGUGGUAAUUCUAGAGCUAAUACAUGCUGAAAAUCCCGACUCCGGAAGGGAUGUAUUUAUUAGAUUCAAAGCCAAUGCCCUCCGGGCUCACUGGUGAUUCAUGAUAACUCCUCGAAUCGCACGGCCUUGCGCCGGCGAUGGUUCAUUCAAAUUUCUUCCCUAUCAACUUUCGAUGUUUGGGUAGUGGCCAAACAUGGUUGCAACGGGUAACGGAGGGUUAGGGCUCGACCCCGGAGAAGGAGCCUGAGAAACGGCUACUACAUCCAAGGAAGGCAGCAGGCGCGCAAAUUACCCAAUCCCGACACGGGGAGGUAGUGACAAUAAAUACUGAUACAGGGCUCUUUUGGGUCUUGUAAUUGGAAUGAGUACAAUUUAAAUCCCUUAACGAGGAACAAUUGGAGGGCAAGUCUGGUGCCAGCAGCCGCGGUAAUUCCAGCUCCAAUAGCGUAUAUUAAAGUUGUUGUGGUUAAAAAGCUCGUAGUUGAACCUUGGGCCUGGCUGGCCGGUCCGCCUCACCGCGUGUACUGGUCCGGCCGGGCCUUUCCCUCUGUGGAACCCCAUGCCCUUCACUGGGCGUGGCGGGGAAACAGGACUUUUACUUUGAAAAAAUUAGAGUGCUCCAGGCAGGCCUAUGCUCGAAUACAUUAGCAUGGAAUAAUGAAAUAGGACGCGCGGUUCUAUUUUGUUGGUUUCUAGGACCGCCGUAAUGAUUAAUAGGGACAGUCGGGGGCAUCAGUAUUC
rnacentral:rRNA from 1 species